rnacentral:rRNA from 1 species
UACGUAGGGGGCUAGCGUUGUUCGGAAUUACUGGGCGUAAAGAGCGUGUAGGCGGCCACGCAGGUCCGUUGUGAAAACUGAAGGCUCAACCUCCAGACGUCGACGGAAACCGUAUGGCUAGAGUCCGGAAGAGGAGAGUGGAAUUCCUGGUGUAGCGGUGAAAUGCGCAGAUAUCAGGAGGAACACCGAUUGCGAAGGCAGCUCGCUGGGACGUAACUGACGCUGAGACGCGAAAGCGUGGGGAGCAAACAGG